AUAUGUGAGUGUCGGAGUGAUAAAUUGGCCCUGGUGAAAGAGCUUAGGAAUGUUGUGAAACAGAAUCAGAUCCUCCACUGCCAACUUUAACAGAAAAGGGAACCAUGGCGUACCAGAAUUUUAUGGCAUGCAAGAAUCCAUUCCGGUCAUGCAGAUCCAUGGUGGGUCUUCUGUCUGUAUUCCCUUUUGAGGGCAAGAAAAUGGCCUGAAGUCUUUCUUCUCUGGGCACCAGGCAUAUCACCUUUUGGUCAAAUAUGAAUAAGAUGUAGCUCUGCAGGGACUGCCUUCUUUGAAUCAAGAAUGAGAAAUCCUAGAGGAAGGGGAACUUCUUCAAAUGUAACAAGCUGAAUAAAAAAAAAAUAAUAUUUCUGCAGUGCAUAAAGAUACCUAAAGGUUUGCAAUGCUCAGACCGCAUAAACCAGCAUAACAUUUGUGGUGAAACCGGCCUCUCCACGUGUCCUUGGAGGGGGAUGCUUGCCCGCCUCUUGCCUUUGGACUAUGGACCAGACUUUAUG